rnacentral:misc_RNA from 1 species
GUAUUAAUUGCGUGUGAUCGCAAAAAGAAAAACAUUCUACACUGUAUCGAGUUUGUGUGAAAACGUGAGCCCCCGAAAGGGGACCCACGCGGUGGUGCACAGGGUGAGAUGGAUUGUUUGAGAGCGCUCGGGCGUGCACGACAAAAAAGUCAGCGACAGCCCUUGCACCUCAGUUUUACGAUAAUGAUCCUUCCGCAGGUUCACCUACGGAAA